UACGGUAGGGGGCAAGCGUUGUCCGGAAUUAUUGGGCGUAAAGAGCGUGUAGGCGGCCAGGUAGGUCUGCUGUGAAAACUCGAGGCUCAACCUCGAGACGUCGGCGGAAACCAUCUGGCUAGAGUCCGGAAGAGGAGAGUGGAAUUCCUGGUGUAGCGGUGAAAUGCGCAGAUAUCAGGAAGAACACCCGUGGCGAAGGCGGCUCUCUGGGACGGUACUGACGCUGAGACGCGAAAGCGUGGGGAGCGAACAGG
rnacentral:rRNA from 1 species